rnacentral:rRNA from 1 species
AUCGAACGCUGGCGGCAGGCCUAACACAUGCAAGUAGAGCGGAGCGGCGGACGGGUGAGUAAUGGCUAGGAAUCUGCCUGGUAGAGGUGGAUCACGUCCGGGAACGGGCGCUAAUACCGCAAAUUAUAAGAUGAGUCGAGGUGGUAUUAGCUAGUUGGUGGGGUAAAGGCCUACCAAGGAGACGAUCCGUAACCGGGCGCAGAGGAUGAUCAGUCACACUGGAACUGAGACACGGUCCAGACUCCUACGGGAGGCAGCGGUGGGGAAUAUUGGACAAUGGGCGAAAGCCUGAUCCAGCCAUGCCGCGGGUGUGAAGAAGGUCUUCGGAUUGUAAAGCACUUUAAGUUGGGAGGCGUUACCAACAGAAUAAGCACCGGCUAACUUCGUGCCAGCAGCCGCGGUAAUUC